UAAUAAACUAGGGAUUAGAUACCCUAUUAUUUUUAUUAAAAAAUUAAAUAAUUUAAUUAUUAAAUGUAAAUCAUUAAAAAUAAAAAAUUYGGCGGUAUUUAUUAUUURGAGGAACUUGUUUAWUAAAUUGAUMMUCCACGAGWRRAAAAACUUAAUUUUUUUAUUWUUAUGUAUUGUUGUAAAAUUAUAUUAAGAGGUAUUAAUUAAUAAAUUUAAUUAAAAUUAUAAUUCAAAUCAAAAUGUAGAAUAAUUAAGAGUUUAAUGAGUUACAAUUAGAUUAAUAAUUGAAUUUUAAAAAAUUUAAUUUUAUAAAUGAAAAUGGAUUUAAAAGUAAAAUUAUAUAAACUUAUAAUUGAA
rnacentral:rRNA from 1 species